GGGGCGUUAGCGCAGCUGGUAGCGCACGACACUGGCAGUGUCGGGGUCACGAGUUCGAAUCUCGUACGCUCCACCA
rnacentral:tRNA from 1 species